GACAGAGGUGCCAAGCGUUAGGCGGAAUCACUGGGCUUAAAGCGUGUGUAGGUGGAAGCGUAAGUACCUUGUGAAAUCCCACGGCUCAACCGUGGAACUGCUUGGUAUACUGCGUUUUCUUGAGCCAACUAGGGGCUAUCGGAACAAGUGGUGGAGCGGUGAAAUGCGUAGAUAUCACUUGGAACGCCAAUGGUGAAAACAGAUAGCUGGGGUUGUGCUGACACUGAGACACGAAAGCCAGGGAGCAAACGGG
rnacentral:rRNA from 1 species